rnacentral:rRNA from 1 species
UCCGUAGGUGGAUAAUUAAGUCAGAGGUGAAAGUUUGCAGCUCAACUGUAAAAUUGCCUUUGAUACUGGUUAUCUUGAGUUAUUGUGAAGUAGUUAGAAUAUGUAGUGUAGCGGUGAAAUGCAUAGAUAUUACAUAGAAUACCAAUUGCGAAGGCAGAUUACUAAUAAUAUACUGACACUGAUGGACGAAAGCGUGGGGAGCGAACAGGAUUAGAUACCCUGGUAGUCC